rnacentral:rRNA from 1 species
AACGAACGCUGGCGGCAUGCCUAACACAUGCAAGUCGAACGAAGUCUUCGGACUUAGUGGCGCACGGGUGCGUAACGCGUGGGAAUCUGCCCUUGGGUGCGGAAUAACUUCUCGAAAGGGAUGCUAAUACCGCAUAAUGUCGUAAGACCAAAGAUUUAUCGCCCAAGGAUGAGCCCGCGUAAGAUUAGCUAGUUGGUGGGGUAAAAGCCUACCAAGGCGACGAUCUUUAGCUGGUCUGAGGGGAUGAUCAGCCACACUGGGACUGAGACACGGCCCAGACUCCUACGGGAGGCAGCAGUGGGGAAUAUUGGACAAUGGGCGAAAGCCUGAUCCAGCAAUGCCGCGUGAGUGAUGAAGGCCCUAGGGUUGUAAAGCUCUUUUACCAGGGAUGAUAAUGACAGUACCUGGAGAAUAAGACUCCGGCUAACUCCGUGCCAGCAGCCGCGGU